GAUGAACGCUGGCGGCGUGCCUAAUACAUGCAAGUCGAGCGAACAGACGAGGAGCUUGCUCCUCUGACGUUAGCGGCGGACGGGUGAGUAACACGUGGAUAACCUACCUAUAAGACUGGGAUAACUUCGGGAAACCGGAGCUAAUACCGGAUAAUAUAUUGAACCGCAUGGUUCAAUAGUGAAAGACGGUUUUGCUGUCACUUAUAGAUGGAUCCGCGCCGCAUUAGCUAGUUGGUAAGGUAACGGCUUACCAAGGCGACGAUGCGUAGCCGACCUGAGAGAGUGAUCGGCCACACUGGAACUGAGACACGGUCCAGACUCCUACGGGAGGCAGCAGUAGGGAAUCUGCCGCAAUGGGCGAAAGCCUGACGGAGCAACGCCGCGUGAGUGAUGAAGGUCUUCGGAUCGUAAAACUCUGUUAUUAGGGAAGAACAAAUGUGUAAGUAACUAUGCACGUCUUGACGGUACCUAAUCAGAAAGCCACGGCUAACUACGUG
rnacentral:rRNA from 1 species